rnacentral:rRNA from 1 species
GAUCAUGGCUCAGGAUGAACGCUAGCUACAGGCUUAACACAUGCAAGUCGAGGGGCAGCAUCAUCAAAGCUUGCUUUGAUGGAUGGCGACCGGCGCACGGGUGAGUAACACGUAUCCAACCUGCCGACAACACUGGGAUAGCCUUUCGAAAGAAAGAUUAAUACCGGAUGGCAUAGUCUUCCCGCAUGGGAUGAUUAUUAAAAGAAAUUCGGUUGUCGAUGGGGAUGCG